rnacentral:lncRNA from 1 species
CGAGAGUGCUCCUUCCCAGUGAUACAUCAGCCGAGAGUGCUCCUUCCUCAUGAUACAUCAGCUGAGAGUGUUCCUUCCUAGUGAUACACCAGCCGAGAGUGCUCCUUCAUUAGUGGCCAGUCCUUUUGCCCCGGAUGAAGGAUGGAAUGACUUCAUUACAGUCCGGUCAUAGGUAGGAAGCAAGAGUAACCCAUUUCAUAGGUGAGAAGCUGAGGCUGUUUGGGGCUGACUGACUUGCACAUGAUCACACAAGCCCAGCCUUGAACCUUGGGACCCUCACAACCUGGCUGUGGUUCCACUCCUGUCAAGCUCACCUCUGCUGCCCCACCUACACCUGAAUUCCAAUCCUGGAUUCUAGCCUCCAGUGGGAAGUUCCUGCCAAGGAGUUAAAUUAGUUGGUUUUUCAUGCAUAUAUAAUAAACUCAACGCAAUAAAUAAGGCUUUAUGGGUGGCAGAUUUAUCCAUUUUUAUGCUUCAAAAGUAAAGCUCACCGGGUUUAUACGUCAGACGCAGACACUGCCCCUCACACCUGCAGGUGUAAAUCACAGUGACCUGGGAUGGUAACAUGGAGGACCUGCCUGGGGGCCUGGUUUAUAAGACUGUCAAUAAUUACAGCCCCAGGAAGCCCACAAGACACGCAGGCAGAAUCUGCUAGGAGCACAGGCAGAGGGACAAAUUACUGGGCACACCGCUGAGCCCAUAAAGAUGGUGUUAUCAGAGGCUGAGUGUGGUCCCCAGGGCACAGGCAUGGAGUGUCUAAACAAGCAUGAAGGGUGGCCCUGAGAGAGGCCCUAAAGAAGAGUUCUGGAGCCUUCCAGACUGGUGAUUCAUGCCAGUAUCAUCUGGAGGCUGGUCAAAACACAGACUGUGGCUGGAGAGACGGCUCAGCCAGUGAACUGACUGUUAGGCAAGAAUGGUGAUCUGAGUUCCACACCCAGCGAGGCAUGGCCACAAGCAAAUGAUUGCCAUCCCAAAGACGGGUGUCAGAGACAGGAUCCUUGGGGUUCACUGGCUGGCCAGCUAUGCCAAGUAAGCAAGUUAUAGGUCCCAACAAGAGUGUCUGUUUCAAAAAAAAUAAAAUAAGGCAAGGCUUCUGAGGAAGAAUGAUGCCCAAGUUUUACGUCUAUCCCACACAUGUACAUGCACAAAUGUGUGUAUGCCUGCACACACACACACACACACAAAACCCUCAGACAUUCUGACUCAGGAUAUCCAGGCUAUGGUUGCAAAGUUUGCGUUUAUCCCAGGAAGUGCUCAAACAGUCCAUCUGUGGAUAAUUUUUGAACACUGAUGUCUAGAUUACUUUUUAGCAAAGGCACAAAUAUCUCUCAUAUUACCCAGUGUCCUGAAAUGACCCAAAACCACACUAGGGUUGUAAAUGACACACUAUGCCCAGAUGUAAGAGCUGGCCUUAACAUCAUGCCAUUAAAAGUAUGUACACUGAAGGUCAGCAUCCCUGGGACACUGAAGGCAAGUGGCUUCAUCUCCCACAGCCUCAUGUUUUGCCUGAUGAAUGGGAUCAUAAUAAAUGGUCAUGAGAUGAGGCCAUUGUACCACUAUAAUAACUAAAUGAGGCUGCAAAUCUGUAUAUGUAUGUGUCCAUACACCUGUAGUGCCACACAUUGAACCCAGGGCCUCACACAUGCUAGGCAAGCACUCUACCACUGGGCUAUACUCCCAACCCUUAUGUGAACUGUUCUAGGCAAAGGGUUUUCUCUACUUAGUAACUGUGAAACUUCCUAGUAUAUUUAUAAUGGUUGAUUGUACUGUCAUUUUAUUGUACUGUACAUUUUUUCCUAAUAAAGGUUUUCUUGAAGAUACUACCUACAUUCAACUCAGAGAGUUGCUUCUAUUCCCUGGCUCCCUUCUGCCAUCCAAUGCCUACAACGAUGGCAGUAUGGAAACAGCAUCUCUAGACAGCAGUGUGUAUGUGUGUGUGUGUGUGUGUGUGUGUGAGAGAGAGAGAGAGAGAGAGAGAGAAAGAGAGAGAGACAGAGAGAGAGAGAGAGAGAGAGAGAGAGAGAGAGAGAGAGAAUGGGAACGGGCCAGCUGAAGUAACCACUGUUUUCAUUUGCAUUUUAUUCUAUGUGCUUUAAAACUAAGCAGGAGAGGUAGGUGGGGGUUGAAAAUGGGUAGAUCCUGUCCUGCAGAGCCCUUCCUAUGUCUCCUAGGUUUUUGAUCUCUGUGACUGACUCUUUUUC